rnacentral:rRNA from 1 species
GUGAAAGCCGGGGCGGAGGCGGGGGUAAGAAGGGGUGGGCAAGCGUGAAUGGGAAUUACUGGGCGGAAAGCGCACGCAGGCGGUUGGAUAAGUUAGAUGUGAAAGCCCCGGGCGCAAACUGGGAAUUGCAUUGAAAACUGGCAAGCUGGAGGCUUGUAGAGGGGGGUAGAAUUCCAGGUGUAGCGGUGAAAUGCGUAGAGAUCUGGAGGAAGACCGGUGGCGAAGGCGGCCCCCUGGACCAAGACUGACGCUCAGGUGCGAAAGCGUGGGGAGCAAACAGGAUUAGAUACCCCUGUAGUC